CACAUGUCUCUGCAGCCUGAAUGAACCAACGCAGAAAAAAAGGGUAGUAAUCAACAAGUUUUGGAACAGAAAUUCAGAAAGAAGAACAAGCUAUCAUCCAACAAAGCUGUCCAGAAUAAAUAACCGAGGGAUUUUCUGACAUUUGAGGCUUCGCAAGUCAGCGCUGCAAGGCUCGCUAUAACGCAUCUGCCAAGCUCCCAUGGGCAACGGCUGAAGAAAACGCCCGUGGAAAGGCCACCACGCCGAAGCGCACAGUGGUAAAUCCGCAGUGAGCGUGCCAAGGCUCCACUAAUUCUGUAUGAAUGUUAAGCUCAGACUCGUGGCCGGAGACCGGUCAAUGGGAGGCCUGCAGAGAACCAAAUCAGCGCACACGUAACGAGCCAUGAGCUGGGCCUCCUCGAAUUACCUGGAUUAAUGAGUUGACAAAAUACAACUAUUCUUAUACUCUCCUGUAGCAGCAAACCAGCCCUGCACCACCGACCUGAACACCUUCCUGGGAUUUCUCACUGGCUUGGUUGCUCAUACACGUCAGGUUUAGAUCUGGCUGUUGAUCUUCCUGACCUCAAAAAC